rnacentral:rRNA from 1 species
UACGAAGGGGGCUAGCGUUGCUCGGAAUUACUGGGCGUAAAGGGCGCGUAGGCGGCACUGUUAGUCAGGCGUGAAAUUCCUGGGCUCAACCUGGGGACUGCGCUUGAUACGGCAGAGCUUGAGGAUGGAAGAGGGUCGCGGAAUUCCCAGUGUAGAGGUGAAAUUCGUAGAUAUUCGGAAGAACACCAGUGGCGAAGGCGGCUCACUGGUCCGGUACUGACGCUGAGGUGCGAAAGCGUGGGGAGCAAACAGG